rnacentral:SRP_RNA from 1 species
ACUCCGGUCCUGCGCAACUCGAGACGUCGAACCCCGCCAGGCCCGGAAGGGAGCAACGGUCAGACGCCCCUCGCGUGUGCCGCAGGUCAGCCGGGGCCAC